AUUGAACGCUGGCGGCAUGCGUAACACAUGCAAGUCGAACGGUGUUUGGUGCUUGCACCAGACAUAGUGGCGGACGGGUGAGUAAUGCGUAGGAAUCUGUCUUAGAGAGGGGGACAACCCGAGGAAACUUGGGCUAAAACCGCAUAUUCUCGAGAGAGGAAAGCAGGGGACCGGAAACGGCCUUGUGCUCUAAGGUGAGCCUACGUCGGAUUAGCUAGUUGGUAGGGUAAAAGCCUACCAAGGCGAUGAUCUGUAGCUGGUCUGAGAGGACGGACAGCCACACUGGGACUGAGACACGGCCCAGACUCCUACGGGAGGCAGCAGUGGGGAAUAUUGGACAAUGGGGGGAACCCGUGAUCCAGCGAUGCCGCGUGUGUGAAGAAGGCCUGCGGGUUGUAAAGCACUUUCAGUGGGAAAGAGAAGCGUCUUGUGAAUAAUGGGACGUGGGAGACGUUACUCACAGAAGAAGCACCGGCUAACUCUGUGCCAGCAGCCGCGGUAAU
rnacentral:rRNA from 1 species